GCGCCCGUAGCUCAGCUGGAUAGAGCACGGGACUUCUAAUCCUGAGGUCGCUGGUUCGAACCCAGCCGGGCGCACCA
rnacentral:tRNA from 1 species